GAAAUUAAUGUAGCUAUUUCACAAAAUUUUUAACAUAUACUUGCAGAGGACUACUAAAGAACAUAUUCUACUUUUAGGAUGGAAGAGAAGCAAUAGUGUGCAACAUUUCAGCAUGAAGAGCCAAGAAAAAUAUUCCUUAAAAUAGCAAUCACAGAAGGUCCAAAGAACAUUACGAGGAAACAAACAAAACCAAGUGCAGACAAACCAAGGGAUCUGUUGUUGUCGGUACAUGGUUCAAAAGACAUGGACAUCUGGACGUCAAGACCAGGAAAUAGCUGA
rnacentral:lncRNA from 1 species